rnacentral:rRNA from 1 species
AACGAACGCUGGCGGCAUGCCUAACACAUGCAAGUCGAACGAGACCUGCGGGGCUAGUGGCGCACGGGUGCGUAACGCGCGGGAACCUGCCCUUAGGUUCGGAAUAACUCCCCGAAAGGGGUGCUAAUACCGGAGAAUGUCCUCGCACCAAAGAUUUAUCGCAGUUGGAUGGGCCUGCGUGGGAUUAGCUAGUUGGUAGUGUAAAAGCCUACCAAGGCGACGAGCCGUAGCUGGUCUGAGAGGAUGAUCAGCCACACUGGGACUGGGACCCGGCCCCGCUUCCUACGGGAGGCAGCAGUGGGGAAUAUUGGACGAUGAGCGCAAGCCUGAUCUAGCAAUGCCGCGUGAGUGAUGAAGGCCUUAGGGUUGUACAGCUCUUUUACCCGCGAUGUUAAUGACAGUACCGGGAGAAUAAGCGCCGGCUAACUCCGUG